UGGAGCCAUGUAUUAUCUGGGACAGAAAUCAAGAUCUUAGGAAGAGGAGUUCACCUUGGAGAGAUUCAUCAAAAGAGCCGGAGUGGCCAGUGACAUGGGGAGAACCAAGAAAGAGUGGAGUUUCUGAAGUCAAAUAAAUAAAAACAUAUGUAAAGAAUCAUCUAUACAUCAAAUGUCAUGUGUCAAGGAAGCUGAGGACUGCAAAUUCAUCCUUGAAGUUAUUAGUGGAGACAAAUGUUGAAAUGAAGUCCUCAAGUCUGUGUGCUAAUGGAGUGGAACUGUGCAAUGCAGGAGAAAACCCUGCAAAGAGGCCCCACAGGA